rnacentral:rRNA from 1 species
CAAUAGCGUAUAUUAAAGUUGUUGCAGUUAAAAAGCUCGUAGUUGGAUUUCUGGUGGGAGCGAUCGGUCUGGCGCUUAGCGCGAGUACUUGCAUCGUCUCCGGCCAUCCUUGGGGAGAGUCUGUCUGGCAUUAGGUUGUCGGGCAGAGGAUCCUCAUCGUUUACUGUGAAAAAAUUAGAGUGUUCAAAGCAGGCUUAUGCCGUUGAAUAUAUUAGCAUGGAAUAAUAAGAUAGGACUUUGGUACUAUUUUGUUGGUUUGCGCACCAAAGUAAUGAUUAAUAGGGACAGUUGGGGGUAUUCGUAUUCAAUUGUCAGAGGUGAAAUUCUUGGAUUUAUGGAAGACGAACUACUGCGAAAGCAUUUACCAAGGAUGUUUUCAUUAA